CAGGUCAUACAAUUGCCAGCAUUCAAACGCGACCCAAUUUUGGCAUCGAAGCAUCAAAAUUCUUGACAUUUUUUCUCGUUUCUUCUUCUUCUUCUCCCUUCUCUGCACCCUAUUGAUCUUCUUCUCCCUCCUGUGCGAAGAGGAUCCUAGAUAGACAUAAACAGUACAGAGACCGGUAAGCGAUGGCACAACCCAGUAAAGAGCCCUGCAAAAAGCAGGCUUGCGAUAUUCAAGCUUGUCUCUCCAAGAACAACUUUCUCCCUCAAAGAUGUGUUAGAGUCAUCGAAUCCCUUAGAAACUGUUGCGAGCAAUGCGAAUACAAGUCGACCCAUUGUGCUUCUUUAUCUGGUCUUCUAAAACAGAUACAGAAGUAAGAGCUUCAUGUCAAACAGUCAGGGAAGAUGGAGAGUUUUGGUUUCUGAUUCCCUCUUGUGCAAUUUCAAAAGUUAAUGCCAUUUUUGCUUCCAUAUUUGACAACAUGAUGAUCAAGAAACAGAGAAAGGUGGCAUUAAAUCAAUCAGACCUUUUGUUAUACAAUUGAUUAUUUUGAAGUUCCUGUAAUAAAUAAGCGGUUGGUCUGGUGUGGAAUCUUCUUACGUAAAUGCAACUGACUGAUCGGUUGCUCAGCCUAUUAACAAAUCAUAACAUAUCACAUCAAAUGGAAUUUCUCUUUUAUAUAUAUAUAUAUAUAAUAGAGUUAAUUUUAUUUUUAA